rnacentral:rRNA from 1 species
CCUACGGGGGGCAGCAGUGGGGAAUAUUGGACAAUGGGGGGAACCCUGAUCCAGCCAUGCCGCGUGUGUGAAGAAGGCCCUCGGGUUGUAAAGCACUUUCAGUGAGGAAGAACGCCUGGUGGUUAAUACCCAUCAGGAAAGACAUCACUCACAGAAGAAGCACCGGCGUAACUCCGUGCCAGCAGCCGCGGUAAUACGGAGGGUGCGAGCGUUAAUCGGAAUUACUGGGCGUAAAGCGCGCGUAGGUGGCUUGAUAAGCCGGUUGUGAAAGCCCCGGGCUCAACCUGGGAACGGCAUCCGGAACUGUCAAGGUAGAGUGCAGGAGAGGAAGGUAGAAUUCCCGGUGUAGCGGUGAAAUGCGUAGAGAUCGGGAGGAAUACCAGUGGCGAAGGCGGCCUUCUGGACUGACACUGACACUGAGGUGCGAAAGCGUGGGUAGCAAACAGGAUUAGAUACCCUGGUAGUC